GCCAUGUGAAGAUAGAGACAUAGGAAGAAUGCAUAUGGUAAUGAAGCUACGAGUAGAGCAAUCGGUGUCUAACCAAAGAUUGCCAAGCAUCCUCAGGAACCACCAGAAGCUAGAAGAGAGGCAUGGAAAGGAUUUUCCCUCAGAAACUCCAGUAGAAGGCAACAUUGCUGAUUCUGGACCUUCAGCCUCCUGCACUCAUUUGAUCACUGACUGGUGAACCGUUUGGGCCCACAGAGAUCUCUAGACCACCAGCUCAUGUAUUUGAAAGGCAUCUGUUUAUUUUGAAAAUGCAAAUGUGGCCUACCUCAAAGACUGACAGGCAAGAAAUGACCCACUGAGCAAGGGGAGAGGUUUCCAAUCUGGAGCCCUGUCCCUCCCUCUACCAUACCGAGAUCACUCGCUGUCAAAACCACUUAAACAAGCUCCAGGAAUCUGAGUGAAGGGCCCACAAUUAAAAUGAACAGGCUCGUA